rnacentral:rRNA from 1 species
GACGAACGCUGGCGGCGUGCCUAAUACAUGCAAGUAGAACGCAGUUGCGAACGGGUGAGUAACGCGUAGGUAACUGCCUGGUAUCGGGGGAUAACUAUUGGAAACGAUAGCUACUACCGCAUACUACCAGAUGGACCUGCGUUGUAUUAGCUAGUUGGUAAGGUAAUGGCUUACCUAGGCCACGAUCCCUAGCUGGUCUGAUAGGGUGAUCAGCCACACUGGGACGGAGACACGGCCCAGAGUCCUACGGGAGGCAGCAGUGGGGAAUAUUGCACAAUGGGCGCAAGCCUGAUGCAGCCAUGCCGCGUGUAUGAAGAAGGCCCUAGGGUUGUAAAGUACUUUCAGUCGGGAGGCGUUACCGACAGAAGAAGCACCGGCUAACUCCGUGCCAGCAGCCGCGGUAAUAC